GAUGAAGAACGCAGCGAAAUGCGAUACGUAAUGUGAAUUGCAGAAUUCAGUGAAUCAUCGAGUCUUUGAACGCACAUUGCGCCCCCUGGUUUUCCGGGGGGCAUGCCUGUCCGAGCGUCAUUGCUGCCCUCAAGCACGGCUUGUGUGUUGGGCCUCCGUCCUCCUCCCGGGGGACGGGCCCGAAAGGCAGCGGCGGCACCGCGUCCGGUCCUCGAGCGUAUGGGGCUUCGUCACCCGCUCUUGUAGGCCCGGCCGGCGCUUGCCGACACAUCAAUCUUUUUUCCAGGUUGACCUCGGAUCAGGUAGGGAUACCCGCUGAACUUAAGCAUAUCAAUAAGCGGAGGA
rnacentral:misc_RNA from 1 species